rnacentral:rRNA from 1 species
CAAUAGCGUAUAUUAAAGUUGUUGCGGUUAAAAAGCUCGUAGUUGGAUUUCUGCCUGAGGCAGCCGGUCCGCGCUUAGUGCGUGUAUCUGGUUUGGUUUGGGCAUCCUCUUGGGGAUCGUUGCUGUGCUUAGUUGCAUGGUGCGGAAUUCAAGACGUUUACUUUGAGGAAAUUAGAGUGGUCACGGCAAGCUAUCGCUUUGAAUACAUUAGCAUGGAGUAAUAAUAUAGGGCGUAAGCUCUAUCUUGUCGGCUGCUAGAACAUACGCAGUGAUUAGUAGGGACAAUUGGGGGCAUUCGUAUUAACGCGUCAGAGGUGGAAUUCUUAGACUGCGUUACGACGAACUACUGCGAAGGCAUCUGCCAAGGCUGUUUUCAGUGAUCAAGAACGAAAGUAUGGGGAUCGAAGACGAUUAGAUACCGU